rnacentral:misc_RNA from 1 species
UUUUUUUUUUUUUGAUAAUUUAUGCAUAUGUUUAUAUGUGGGAGAUCCAUAUAUGGAUUGAAGAUAUGUUUGGUUGGGCAAAUUAAUGCUUUAGUCCCUAUUUUGAGCAUUUUUGGUUGGCUGAGAAAAUUGCUAUUGGUAUUAUACGCUUGCUAGGUUUGUUAAUAUUUCAAAGUUAAUGUGGACAAUGAAUUACAAACUACUGGAAUGAGACUUUUGCAAGAUGUUUUGGACUUCAAUUGUGCCUUGUAAGUUGGAUAGGAUUGCAACUUGAAGAAAAUAUUUCACACCUAUUUUGUGCUGUAUUGAUGGGCUCCAAGUGAUGAGAAUCCAUUCAUAUUUUGAUUCUAGGUUAACAAUGUUGUUUGGCCAUCUGAUUCAAAACUGAAAGACUUUGUUGGGUGUAGCAUCAACAAAAUCAAAGAAAAAUGGAACCAUAAUGCAUUUCCCAUUUUUUUCAGAAAAUGUUGUCAUUUAUAUGAGAGGACUUAGUAAUGGUUUUUAUUGAUGGUUGUGGGUUUCUCAAGAAAAUAUUGAAUGAUGCUCGUUUUAAAGAGAUUGUUUGCCUCAUUUCACCUGUUUUUAUUCCUUUCCUUCAUCUUGAAUAUAAAGUUCUACAUUCAUGAAUUGAUGCUGCAGCAAUUUAUGAAGAUAUAUCUGUAGUUAUCUGAACUUCAAAAUCUUGUUUGUGAAAGUUCUGGAUGUUUGUAAUUAUUAUUAUUGUACGAUUUUGUUAAAGUGAGGUUGUAAAAGCUUCAUAGAGGCACAUAGUUACCAUAUUCAGCUGGAAGCAUCUUUAUAUAGAAUAUCAUCAUUUCUUUGCUCCACCUGUCUUUUUGAUAGCAACUUAAAAUGGCUGGGAGAAAUCGUAUUCCUCGUGAGGCCUAUAAUGAACGUCGUGGCUUCCCCCCAGAGAGACCUUUAAUUCGCGGCCCUCCUUUGCCACAUCCACCUCCUCAUCGUACAUUGUUGGAGGAUGAACUUGAAAUACAACAUGCUGAAAUCCAUGGGCUCCUGGUUGAUAAUCGCCGGCUGAUUGAAGAUCGAAUGGCUCUACAGCAAGAGCUUGGUGCUGCCAAGGAGGAACUUCAUCGCAUGAAUCUUGUCAUAGCUGAAAUUCGUACAGAAUAUGAAGUGCACUCGAGGGAGCUUAUUGAAAAGGGCUUGAAGCUGGAGGCUGAUCUUCGUGCAACUGAGCCUUUGAAGAAUGAGGUUGUACAACUUCGUGCAGAAGUUCAGAAACUGAAUAAUGUAAAGAAGGAACUCCUUGGGGAAAUUCAGACCCUCAAACAAGAACUUGCAAGAUCACAAGCUGAUAACCAACAGAUUCCUGUUUUGCAGGGUGAGAUUGAGGGCCUGCACCAGGACCUUAUGCAUGCUAGAACUGCUAUUGAUUAUGAAAAGAAGGCAAACAUUGAGUUGGUGGAGCAGAGGCAGGCAAUGGAGAAGAACAUGGUGUCUAUGGCUCGUGAAGUUGAAAAGCUACGGGCUGAACUUACUAGUGCUGACGCUCAACCCUGGGUUGCUGGUGGACCAUAUGGGAUGAAGUUCGGUAAUCCAGAGGGGGUGUUUCCUGCACCUUAUGGGGAUGGAUAUGGGGUUCAUAUGGUUGCUGCUGACAAAGGUCCUUUGUAUGGCCCUGGUCCUGCUUCAUGGGACAAGUCCCGCAUGCCUCGUCGUUGAUGGUUGCUGGUCAAAUUCAAAAGGGGCAAAGUGUUUUUGUUUCCGCCUGUUAUCCUGUUCAAUAUCUCAGUAGGCAAGAAGUGUCUUUCAUCAUUGUGUGCAUGCCAACCAGUGGUCUUUUAUUUAAAUACAUUGUUAGUUAUUCUAAGACUUUAGGAUUAUAUUGUUGCUUUGCUUUAAUUGGUAGACACCAUGGUUUCCUUUUCACAUCAAACAUAAUAUGGUAAUCUGAAUUCUGGAAUGUUGCAGCUAUAUCUUUGUGUGCUUGCCUUUUUACAACACUUUUCAGUCUUGUUUCGCUUGCUGAGCUAUGUGAUUUAUUAAAUGGUUUUUUCUUCU